GACGAACGCUGGCGGCGUGCCUAAUACAUGCAAGUUGAGCGAUGAAGAUUGGUGCUUGCACCAAUUUGAAGAGCAGCGAACGGGUGAGUAACGCGUGGGGAAUCUGCCUUUGAGCGGGGGACAACAUUUGGAAACGAAUGCUAAUACCGCAUAACAACUUUAAACAUAAGUUUUAAGUUUGAAAGAUGCAAUUGCCUCACUCAAAGAUGAUCCCGCGUUGUAUUAGCUAGUUGGUGAGGUAAAGGCUCACCAAGGCGAUGAUACAUAGCCGACCUGAGAGGGUUGUCGGCCAAAUCGGGACCGGGACACGGCCCCAACUCCUACGGGAGGCAGCAGGAGGGAAUCUUCGGCCAUGGACGGAAGUCUGACCGCGCAACGCCGCGGGAGGGAAGAAGGGUUUCGGAUCGGUAAACUCUGUUGGUAGAGAAGAACGUUGGUGAGAGUGGAAAGCUCAUCAAGUGACGGUAACUACCCAGAAAGGGACGGCUAACUACGUG
rnacentral:rRNA from 1 species